UUACAAGGGGAACGGGUUUAUCAUUUCACUGGGCAGGACAAGUCAAUGUACAGUUGGCCUCCAAUAUCAUGAUAGGUCAAACAAACUUGAUGAAACAUAUAAACACUCAAGUGUAUGAUGCAUUACUGCAUGGACCACCACAAAAUAUCCAUUUAUCAUUCCCAACAAGGCAACAAAAUCUUGAUGAAACCUAAGAAGAAAAAUCACUGUAAAAACCUCAACAGGUUUGUGUCUUGCUGAAAAUAACAAAUAGUUCAACAGUUGAAUAAUAAUGCACCUUUAACGUCCAUCUCCAACAAAAGUAAUUCUUACACCCAGGAGCCUUUCCAUAACCCUGCAUCGACAAGUAAAAUAAGCAGAGCACUAACAACAGGGCAAAAUGACAUGUACU
rnacentral:lncRNA from 1 species